GCAAUAAAGCAAGGGGGAGAGGGGGGGCGGGGCUAACAUGCAGUCGUACGCUUCUUUUUCCACCGGAGCUUGCUCCACCGGAAAAAGAAGAGUGGCGAACGGGUGAGUAACACGUGGGUAACCUGCCCAUCAGAAGGGGAUAACACUUGGAAACAGGUGCUAAUACCGUAUAACAAUCGAAACCGCAUGGUUUUGAUUUGAAAGGCGCUUUCGGGUGUCGCUGAUGGAUGGACCCGCGGUGCAUUAGCUAGUUGGUGAGGUAACGGCUCACCAAGGCCACGAUGCAUAGCCGACCUGAGAGGGUGAUCGGCCACAUUGGGACUGAGACACGGCCCAAACUCCUACGGGAGGCAGCAGUAGGGAAUCUUCGGCAAUGGACGAAAGUCUGACCGAGCAACGCCGCGUGAGUGAAGAAGGUUUUCGGAUCGUAAAACUCUGUUGUUAGAGAAGAACAAGGAUGAGAGUAACUGUUCAUCCCUUGACGGUAUCUAACCAGAAAGCCACGGCUAACUACGUGCCAGCAGCCGCGGUAAUACGUAGGUGGCAAGCGUUGUCCGGAUUUAUUGGGCGUAAAGCGAGCGCAGGCGGUUUCUUAAGUCUGAUGUGAAAGCCCCCGGCUCAACCGGGGAGGGUCAUUGGAAACUGGGAGACUUGAGUGCAGAAGAGGAGAGUGGAAUUCCAUGUGUAGCGGUGAGAUGCGUAGAUAUAUGGAGGAACACCAGUGGCGAAUGCGGCUCUCUGGUCUGUAACUGACGCUGAGGCUCGAAAGCGUGUGGAGCACACAGGAUUAGAUACCCUGGUAGUCCACGCCGUAGACGAUGAGUGCUAAGUGUUGGAGGGUUUCCGCCCUUCAGUGCUGCAGCUAACGCAUUAAGCACUCCGCCUGGGGAGUACGACCGCAAGGUUGAAACUCAAAGGAAUUGACGGGGGCCCGCACAAGCGGUGGAGCAUGUGGUUUAAUUCGAAGCAACGCGAAGAACCUUACCAGGUCUUGACAUCCUUUGACCCUCUAGAGAUAGAGCUUCCCCUUCGGGGGCAAAGUGACAGGUGGUGCAUGGUUGUCCUCAACUCGGGUCUGGAGAAGUUGGGGUAAGUCCCGCACCGAGCCCACCCCUUAUUGUAUUUGCCUUUUUCAUUGGGCCCUUACAAAAUGCCGGACAAACCGGGAAAGGGGGA
rnacentral:rRNA from 1 species